GGAUAUUGGGCGUAAAGGGCUCGCAGGCGGUUUCUUAAGUCUGAUGUGAAAGCCCCCGGCUCAACCGGGGAGGGUCAUUGGAAACUGGGAAACUUGAGUGCAGAAGAGGAGAGUGGAAUUCCACGUGUAGCGGUGAAAUGCGUAGAGAUGUGGAGGAACACCAGUGGCGAAGGCGACUCUCUGGUCUGUAACUGACGCUGAGGAGCGAAAGCGUGGGGAGCGAACAGGAUUAGAUACCCUGGUAGUCCACGCCGUAAACGAUGAGUGCUAAGUGUUAGGGGGUUUCCGCCCCUUAGUGCUGCAGCUAACGCAUUAAGCACUCCGCCUGGGGAGUACGGUCGCAAGACUGAAACUCAAAGGAAUUGACGGGGGCCCGCACAAGCGGUGGAGCAUGUGGUUUAAUUCGAAGCAACGCGAAGAACCUUACCAGGUCUUGACAUCCUCUGACAACCCUAGAGAUAGGGCUUUCCCUUCGGGGACAGAGUGACAGGUGGUGCAUGGUUGUCGUCAGCUCGUGUCGUGAGAUGUUGGGUUAAGUCCCGCAACGAGCGCAACCCUUGAUCUUAGUUGCCAGCAUUUAGUUGGGCACUCUAAGGUGACUG
rnacentral:rRNA from 1 species